rnacentral:lncRNA from 1 species
AGAAUAUUAGACCGUAUUGGCAGACAGGGUAUAAUGGAAUAAGUAAAUAUGAAGUGUAAAAUGAGGAUAGAGGAGAAUUAAAUACUUUCGAAUGUUAAAAUAAGUAAAAGAAAAGAAGGUUAGAAGGAUUUGCUGGAGAUACGAUUUAAACUAGAAUACAAAGCAGGGAGGUGAGAGGAAGUCAUGGAAAUAAGUAAAUGGGAAAAUGGUUUGUAAUGGUCAAAUAUGUUUUUUGUUAUUUCCUUUUUUUUUUACUGUGAUUUUCUGUUUUUCUUAUUCCUUUUUAUUGUCUGUUUUUUAUAAGAUGUAUGUGGUUUGUGUUUCUCUUUUUUAUACUUUUUCUUUUUUUGUAAUUGUAAAAUUGGAAUAAAUAUUCUUU